rnacentral:rRNA from 1 species
UUCGCAAUGCCCGAAAGGGUGACGAAGCGACGCCGCGUGUGGGAAGAAGGCCUUCGGGUUGUAAACCACUGUCGGGAGUUAAGAAAUGCAAGAAUGUUAAUAGCGUUUUUGCUUGACUAAGGCUCCGGAGGAAGCCACGGCUAACUCUGUGCCAGCAGCCGCGGUAAUACAGAGGCGGCAAGCGUUGUUCGAAAUUAUUGGGCGUAAAGAGCACGUAGGCGGCUAUAUAAGUCGGUUGUGAAAGCCUUCCGCUCAACGGGAGAACAGCAUCCGAUACUGUAUGGCUUGAGUGUGGGAGGGGAGAGCGGAACUUCUGGUGGAGCGGUGAAAUGCGUAGAUAUCAGAAGGAACGCCGGCGGCGAAAGCGGCUCUCUGGCCCAUAACUGACGCUGAGUGUGCGAAAGCUAGGGGAGCAAGCGGGAUUAGAUACCCCGGUAGUCCUAGCCGUAAACGAUGGGCACUAAGUAGAGGGGUUUU